AGUCAAUAUCGGCAGAUGCGGCAUCUUCAAGAUUCACAAACUUAUCCAAGCCCUCCCAUGACCGAACCGAAUCGGUCGUCGGUUGGGUUAGGUUUUAUUGAGAAUCUUGAUGAUGCUGCAUCGGCAGAUAUAUUGGCU
rnacentral:pre_miRNA from 1 species